rnacentral:rRNA from 1 species
UGUAGCAAUACGAUGGAAAGUUUAGUGGCGAACGGGUGCUUAACACGUGGGCAACCUGCCAGGAAGUGGGGGAUAGCUCGCCGAAAGGCGAAUUAAUACCGCAUGUGAUUAGAGAGGACAUCCUUUCAAAAUUAAAGUCGGGGCAACCUGACGCUUCUUGUGGGGCCCGCGGCCUAUCAGCUAGUUGGUGAGGUAACGGCCCACCAAGGCUUUGACGGGUAGCUGGUCUGAGAGGACGACCAGCCACACUGGGACUGAGACACGGCCCAGACACCUACGGGUGGCAGCAGUCGAGAAUUUUUGACAAUGGGGGAAACCCUGAUCGAGCGACGCCGCGUGGAGGAUGAAGGUCUUCGGAUUGUAAACUCCUGUCAUUGGGGAACAAUGCACAGAUAUUAACUAUAUUUGUGUUGAUAGUACCCGAAGAGGAAGAGACGGCUAACUCUGUGCCAGCAGCCGCGGUAAUACAGAGGUCUCAAGCGUUGUUCGGAUUCAUUGGGCGUAAAGGGUGCGUAGGCGGCGCGGUAAGUCGGGUGUGAAAUCUCGGAGCUUAACUUCGAAACUGCAUUCGAUACUGCCGUGCUUGAGGACUGGAGAGGAGACUGGAAUUCACGGUGUAGCA